rnacentral:rRNA from 1 species
AUUGAACGCUGGCGGCAGGCUUAACACAUGCAAGUCGAGCGGAGCGAGGGUGCUUGCACCUUAGCUUAGCGGCGGACGGGUGAGUAAUGCUUAGGAAUCUGCCUAUUAGUGGGGGACAACAUUCCGAAAGGAAUGCUAAUACCGCAUACGCCCUACGGGGGAAAGCAGGGGAUCUUCGGACCUUGCGAUAAUAGAUGAGCCUAAGUCGGAUUAGCUAUUUGGUGGGGUAAAGGCCUACCAAGGCGACGAUCUGUAGCGGGUCUGAGAGGAUGAUCCGCCACACUGGGACUGAGACACGGCCCAGACUCCUACGGGAGGCAGCAGUGGGGAAUAUUGGACAAUGGGCGGAAGCCUGAUCCAGCCAUGCCGCGUGUGUGAAGAAGGCCUUUUGGUUGUAAAGCACUUUAAGCGAGGAGGAGGCUACUAGUACUAAUACUACUGGAUAGUGGACGUUACUCGCAGAAUAAGCACCGGCUAACUCUGUGCCAGCCGCCGCCGUAAUAC